rnacentral:rRNA from 1 species
GAGGAAUUUUGCGCAAUGGGGGCAACCCUGACGCAGCAACGCCGCGUGAGUGAUGAAGGCCUUCGGGUCGUAAAGCUCUGUCGAAUGGGAAGAAACAGUGAUGGUUAAUAUCCAUUGCCUUGACGGUACCAUUAGAGGAAGCACCGGCUAACUCCGUGCCAGCAGCCGCGGUAAUACGGGGGGUGCAAGCGUUAUUCGGAAUUAUUGGGCGUAAAGGGUGCGUAGGCGGUUUUGUAAGUCAGAUGUGAAAUCCCGGGGCUUAACUUCGGAACUGCAUUUGAUACUGCAAGACUUGAGUAUGGGAGAGGGAAGCGGAAUUCCUGGUGUAGAGGUGAAAUUCGUAGAUAUCAGGAGGAACACCGGUGGCGAAGGCGGCUUCCUGGACCAAUACUGACGCUGAGGCACGAAGGCGUGGGGAGCAAAC